ACGUAGGUGGCGAGCGUUGUCCGGAUUUAUUGGGCGUAAAGGGAGUGUAGGCGGUCUUUUAAGUCUGAUGUGAAAGCCCACGGCUCAACCGUGGAGGGUCAUUGGAAACUGGGAGACUUGAGUGCAGAAGAGGAGAGCGGAAUUCCAUGUGUAGCGGUGAAAUGCGUAGAUAUAUGGAGGAACACCAGUGGCGAAGGCGGCUCUCUGGUCUGUAACUGACGCUGAGGCUCGAAAGCGUGGGGAGCAAACAGG
rnacentral:rRNA from 1 species